UAAAAGUUGAUUCCAAAGACAAGGAGGUAGCCGGGACAGUCAAGAACCUCUUUGCCAUCAUUGCCAAUACGGGGUAUCUAGGUGCAUUCACCCUCCACCAAUCAAGAAGAUUGAACAUAGGAUCCAUUGCCUCAUUCAAGUCAUCUAGAUAGUUUCUAAGCUCACUUUUUGAUGGUGUUGAUGAAGUGCCUGAUAAGAAGGACUGAAACUCAUAAUCCAUAAGUGGCAUCGAGGUACUUGUGUUGCAAUUGUUCUUGGCUGAUGAUCCACUAGCUCUUCCUUCAGCUUGCUUAUUUUUUGCAACAAACUUCUCAUACAAUGUGUCCACCCUCUGCGCACAAUAUUCUUCUCAGUAUUUUCUUUCCCCACAGCAUACAUUUGGUGAUAGCAUCACUCAACAUACCUCAUCUUGUACCUUGGGUCCAAGAUGGUAGCAAGCACCAUGACAUUGUUCGGCUCAUCCCAAUACUUGUCAAAUUUAUCCAUCAUUGCAUCACCCAUUUUCUUGUAGCAUUCAUCAUCAUGAGCCAUUGCUUUUCUCAAAGCAAUCUUGAUGCUGACAAUGUGAGGGUAGAAUAUGUUGGAGGUGGGAUAUAAUUGCCCUGAAAACGCAGUUGUCACACGAGAUAAAGAGAGGAGCAAUGGCUUAAUAACUUCAAACUUGUCCCGUUCUUCUUUUACGGCUCCCAUUGAUAGUUGGCAUUUGAAGCUGCAUAAGAGGACAAGGCUUCCCUAUACGGGCAGGCUGUAUCAAGCAUCUGGUACAUUGAACUCCACCGCGUGACACAAUCAAGAUGCAAAUGGUUGCCAAUCUCAACACCCAAUAUUUUGCAAGUCUCAACAAACUUGUGGAGGCGACUCGGUGACUUGUUGAAAUAUUUAACCGUCUCUCUCAAAUUCUCUAUCAAAGGGGCCAUGAUGGCUGUCCCAUCUUGCACCACCAAGUUGAUAAUGUGUGCACAACAACGGACAUGGAAAUAUUUGGCUUCAAAGUCCGUACCUACAAAAAAAAGCAAGCAUAUGACAAUAUAUUCAACCAAAACAGCACACAUAUGAGCAUGUGUUCAACCAAAAUAUCAUUAUUUGGACAAACAAAGCAUAUUUACUACAAAAACAGCAAGAAUAUGACCAUAUAUUCAACAAAAACAGCAAGUAUAUGAACAUAUGGACAACAAAAACAACAAGUAUAUACCUCUCUGAACAACAAACUUUGCCUUCAAACCUCUGACAGCAACACCAUUGUUCGAAGCAUUGUCUAGUGUGAUGGAUAUAAUUUUCUUCUCUAUCUUCCAUUCAGUCACACACUCAUAGAUAUCAUCUGAAAUCACAUGCCCGGAGUGAGGAGGAUCCAAAUCUAUGAAAGAAAGAACAUGUGUUUGCAUCUUCCAAUCCUUAUCUAUAAAGUGUGCAAUCACACACAUAUAUGAUAUGGUCUGGUUGCUAGUCCACAAAUCGGUUGUCAGACUAAUGAAGUCCACAUCCUUUAGGGCAACUUGAAGCAACUCCCUUUCUUUCUUGAAAACCCUCAUGCAUUCAGCUCUUAUUGCCUUCCUUCCAAUGGGUUGAUAGUUUGGAUUCAAGCACUUCAUGAGAAUGUUGAACCAUUUAUGUUCAACCAUUCUAAAUGAGUACUCAUGACCUCCUUGAUGAGGUCCUUAUGAUACUCAAUGCAUUGGACAACUGGACCACUUGUUGUUGCAUUGGUUUUGCUAAAAAAAUAGAGUGGCUUGAAUGAGAUCCCUAUUAACCUUGUCCUUGUAAUCCUUACAUGUGUCCAUAUGUCUUACCAUGCAUGAGGUGCUUCCACCUUGGACAUAUGCAUAUUGAUUGUCACAAUAAUUACAUUGUGCCUUCAACUCCAUCAAACCUUCUUUUGAUGGCACCUUUACCGUAUGAAAGAAGGUCCAAACCGGCGACGUCAACCUCAAAGGAGCUUGACCUUUUCGUUUCUUGGCACUCUUUCGUUGCACUUUUUUUGCUUCAUCCUCACUCGAACUAAGAAGUACGAUUUCUUGCUCUUGAGGCGUAGGACCAAGGCCUAGACCAUCCUUGGACAUGUCAUCACCUUCGAAGGCUUCUUCUUCACUAUCCACAAACCCAUCUGAAUCUGAUUUGUCACCAGCCCCGGGCGGCACCUCAAACAAAGUAUCUUGCUCUUCCUUGUCCUCCUCCUCAUCCUCUUCCACCUGUUCAUGAUCCUCCUCCGCUUGCUUAUCAUGCUCCAUUGCCUAGCACACAAAAACAACACACACAUGAGCUUGGACACACAUAUAUUUGACUUUUGUAUAGCAAAAACAGCACACCCAUGAGCUUGUAGAAAUAUAUAUUUGACUUUUGGAUAGCAAAAAUAGCACACACAUGAGCUUGCACAAACAUAUAUUUGACUUUUGUCUAGCAAAAGCAUCACAGACAUGAGCUUGCACAAACAUAUAUUUGACUUUUGGAUAGCAAAAACAGCACACACACAUGAGCUUGCACAAACAUAUAUUUGACUUUUGUCUAGCAAAAGCAUCACAGACAUGAGCUUGCACAAACAUAUAUUUGACUUUUGGAUAGCAAAAACAACACACACACAUGAGCUUGCACAAACAUAUAUUUUACAUUUGGAUACCAAAAAGGGCACACACAUGAGCAUGCACAAACAUAUAUUUGACAUUUGGGUACCAAAAACAGCACAUAUGAGCUUGGGCACACAUAAAUUUGACUUUCAAAAAGCAAAGACAGCACAUACAUGAGCUUGCACAAAUAUAUAUUUGGCACAUACAUACCUGGGAAGAUGUAGCCUCCCUCUCAUAGUAGUUUGCGGAGCCGGAGGCAGCGGCGAUUGCGGCACGCACACCAGCGCCGUUGGGGUCAAGGAGACACCGAGGUGGGGGUUUAUUUUUUACCCUAUACAACAACUCAGCGAUUGGGGCAUUGCUGCAAUCAUUUGCCAUCUUCCUCGGCAGCCGCGUAGUAGCUGCUGCAUUGCCCUUCCCAUUCCCCUUCUGCAUCCCCAAGACCGGCACCUU
rnacentral:lncRNA from 1 species